GGCUGGUUAGCUCAGUGGUUUGAGUGCGGUGCUCACAACAAUGACAACACCGAGGUCACGGGUUCGAUUCCCGCUCAGUCC
rnacentral:tRNA from 1 species